GGGCUGCAGUGAGGGAUUUUGCGCAAUGGGGGAAACCCUGACGCAGCAACGCCGCGUGAGUGAAGAAGGCCCUUGGGUCGUAAAGCUCUGUCGACAGGGAAGAAAUUACUUCAUAUUAAUAGUGUGUUGUAUUGACGGUACCUGUAGAGGAAGCACCGGCUAACUCCGUGCCAGCAGCCGCGGUAAUACGGGGGGUGCAAGCGUUAUUCGGAAUUAUUGGGCGUAAAGGGCGCGUAGGCGGUCUUGUCGGUCAGAUGUGAAAGCCCGGGGCUCAACCCUGGAAGUGCAUUUGAAACAGCAAGACUUGAGUACGGGAGAGGAAAGCGGAAUUCCUGGUGUAGAGGUGAAAUUCGUAGAUAUCAGGAGGAACACCGAUGGCGAAGGCAGCUUUCUGGACCGAUACUGACGCUGAGGCGCGAAGGUGUGGGUAGCGAACGGGAUUAGAUACCCUGGUAGUC
rnacentral:rRNA from 1 species